rnacentral:rRNA from 1 species
AGUGAACGCUGGCGGUAGGCCUAACACAUGCAAGUCGAACGGCGGCACAGUAAGAGCUUGCUCUUACGGGUGGCGAGUGGCGGACGGGUGAGGAAUACAUCGGAAUCUACUUUUUCGUGGGGGAUAGCGUAGGGAAACUUACGCUAAUACCGCAUACGACCUACGGGUGAAAGCAGGGGAUCUUCGGACCUUGCGCGAUUGAAUGAGCCGAUGUCGGAUUAGCUAGUUGGCGGGGUAAAGGCCCACCAAGGCGACGAUCCGUAGCUGGUCUGAGAGGAUGAUCAGCCACACUGGAACUGAGACACGGUCCAGACUCCUACGGGAGGCAGCAGUGGGGAAUAUUGGACAAUGGGCGCAAGCCUGAUCCAGCCAUACCGCGUGGGUGAAGAAGGCCUUCGGGUUGUAAAGCCCUUUUGUUGGGAAAGAAAAGCAGCAGGUUAAUACCCCGCUGUUCUGACGGUACCCAAAGAAUAAGCACCGGCUAACUUCGUG